ensembl:lncRNA
UUUAAAAAGGCCAAGGCUAUAUGAAGAUUUCCAAGACAUUAAAAGUUCACUUUUAAUGAGACACAGCUCUCAGCCUUAUUUCUUAGCUUAAAGUGUGCUGUACCAGAAAACCUUUGAGGGUGUUGAAGAAAAAGCACAAUAUCAUAAAAUGUUUAAUCAGAGCAACUGAAAAAUAUCUGCAAUGUUAAGCCAAAGACUUGCAAGAUGACCUGAUUAAAGGAGGAAAACCAUUUCAAUGCAGUGUCAGAAGAACACCAUCUCCAUCAUCAAACUUGGAGGUGGAUCAGUCCUGUUAUGGGGUUGCUUUACUGUAGCAGGAAGUGGAAAUCAUGACUGUAUGAAGGACAUCAUGGAUUCUUUGAAGUAUCAGGCCAUUUUGACAAGAAUUGUGAUGCCUUUGGUGCAAAGACUGAAGCUGAUGAUCAAUGGGCUUUCCUGCAGGACCGUCAUCCCAAAGUACACAUCCAAAUCAACUUCUGCUUGUUUUGGGGGGUUGAAUAAUUUUGAACAUGAAUGUUUAGAGCCACUUUGAAUUUCAUCAUGAUUCAUCAGUGUUCCAUUCUCAGAAUCGCUCAAAAGUGUAUUAACAAACUUUCUCUAAUACUUUACUGAUGCCUUUGUUAAAUUGUUUUCAUAUAAUUUUGUUUGCCACAGCAAAAUGCCUUGCAGGUCAAGGGG